AAAGCCCACCCCACCUCUACUCCCCCCGAUUCCCCGAUGCCCCACCUCCCGCAGCUCCUGCCCUCAACGACGACGUGCCCGCCGCCCCGUCCCCAACCGGCGGCGCCGCCGCCACCAACCCCCCAGCCACGACGCGUUGUGUAUAGGAGCCGGCGGGAUGCUCCCGAACUCCGGAUCCCGCGGAGAAAAAAAAAAGAGAAUCCCUCUCCCAACCUUAUCCCCACGCCGUUCUAACCUCGCACCCAUGCCACCACCACCUCCCUCCCCGGGCAGCAGGCGCCGCAGCCGCCGCAGCCGCCACCUCCCUCCCCCGGCAGUAGGCGUCGUCGCCCACACCUCCUUCCGCCGGCAGAAGCACUGCCGCCCCCAUCUCCCUCCCCGCCAGACGCACCGUCGGCCCCAACUUCCUCCCCGGCAGAAGCGCCGUCGCGACUCCACCUCCAGGCCGGGUCGCCACGCGCCUCCACCUCCCGGCUUCACGGCGCUGCCCCGUCGGUCUCCUCCGGCGGCCCCGUCGCCGUCCUUCUCCCGGAGCCCCAGCGCCCGGCGGCUUCCGUCGUGCGCGCCAAUCAGGCCACACGGCCACCCCCGUCGCCCUAGCAUGCUUGCUUGGUGGAGACUAGGAGCAGCGACAGAGAUGCCGCCCCGCGGCCGAACCCCUGCCUCCGCUUGGCUCCGUCCGCUGCAGCACACCGGCUCUCCCCGUCGCCCACCUGCCAUGUUCAUGUCCACAGGUAUACUCUGCAUUCGUGUGAAAUUAUUUGAAAUGAAGGAGACGUUUGGCUGUAUUGCCAGUUCAAGUUAAGUUCUCCCUGCAGAUACAUCAAUUUUUAUUUCCAUGUAUUGAGUUCUCUUACAUAUUUCAUAUGAUGAUGCAUCUCCCUGGAUCAUAGCUACACCUUACAAACAAGGAGGCUUUGAAAAAAACCCAGGAUGUACAAACUUGAGUUAAGUUUCUUAGGCUGGCGUAUCAAUUUCUCUGUCAGUACACCACUUACCGAACAGCCUCUGCUGCUACUUCUUCACCUCUGUUGUAGCUAGCUGAUGGUGCUUCUUUUCAGCAGUUCAAGCUACAAAUGGAGCGUUCCAUGCAGCAACAUCAACCCAACGGGCAUACGAUGUCCGACGACGGCUAGGUUUGGCGUGCGUCUCUCCGGCGUGCUGGGCGUGGUGCCGAGAGUGCUGCAAUUCGAAGUGGCUGGGCAUUAAAUUUUAGAGAUUGCUUUUUUAGUACAUUCAGGGAAGUUUCUUUCUUCCUUUUUGCAUUUUGUCUAUGCACAUACUUAGUUCAGACUUCAGAGUGGUUCUGACCUUGGCUCCUCUCACCUGAACACUUGCACCAUUUGUAAAAUAUACAUAAAUGAGUGUCGUAACUAGCAUUCAAAAAUGAAUCCAGAAUAAGUAGGAAGACACCACAACCUCUUCCAUGGGUUCCAGUAGCUCAAGCUUUUAAGAAAAUACAUUUGACACGAAGCUUUAUUCAUACAGUUGUAAUAGUUUUUGAAGUAAUUUUAUCACUUCUGUAGCUUUGCUUUUUUUUUUGAAAUGCUUUGUUUUGCAUAACAAUUGCUUUGGCAGUAGCAAAAGGAAGUUUUCUCUGGUGGCAAGGGGCCAUGCAGGCUGUUUUGUUACUUGCAAGGGACCAUGCAAGGACCUAUCUAGCCGCUAAACCACAACCGCUUCUGGUCCGGCCGCCAUCAACACACACCGCCACGGCCUACUGCUGACACGACCGCGCCUCCCCGUGCAGAAGUCCAGGUUGUUCCCCGAGCGAACGUGCACCCUCAACUCUGUAGUGCCUGAGAAGCCACAUGGAAGCCCAAUCAUGCGUGCGUUGGUGUCCCCUGAAUUCGUCAUGGAGGUUUUGAUUAGUUUGGGUCACUCCCCACUGCUCUUCUCCGUGGCGGAUCCUCCUCUGACCGGCUUCCCCCACCACUACUGCAAUACCUCCUGACUACCCCCUGCAUCACCGGCAGCCGUGGUGGUCUGCUCCUCCCGGAUUGCACUCAUCAGCAGGUCAAACACAAAGCUUGUGGCAGGUCGACUAAAGAAGUUGGAGCAAAAAAGGAGGCACAAAAAAGUCAUUACAGCAUCAUCCUUUGAAGAAAGAACAGAGAACGUCCAGGUGGUCUCUACAUCAAUGGAAGGAGGGCGAUCAAUCGGUGCUGCUGCGACGCUGUCUUCAACUCCUGGAUCGGCGAAGAGGCGAGCUGCUCAGGAUAGCCUGGGGUGGGAACUGAGGGCAUGCGUGAAGAAGAACCGAGGUGGAGCGCUGAAGGCUCACUUGGGAUGA